rnacentral:tRNA from 1 species
GCCGGCGUAGCUCAACUGGUAGAGCAAUCCCUUUGUAAGGGAAAGGUUGUAGGUUCGAUUCCUAUCGCCGGCU